ensembl:lncRNA ZNF436-AS1 ZNF436 antisense RNA 1
GGGGCGACUCGGGAGUGCGGUCGGCAGUAGAGCCUGGCGGUGUCUUGGCUUCGGCGCUUUAACCCUGUAGGGGCGUGCGACUGCGUCCUUCUCAAGGGGGCGCCCCUCGAGCGGCGGGCUGAGUGGCGUCCAGCGGCGGGGAGGCGAAAACCCUGGGGGACUCAGAAGCGGGUGGCGGUGUAGGGCGUGUAAGGAGGAGAUAGCCAGGCCCCUGCGGGGGGGGCGGGCCCUCCUUAGCGUCCCAGAGGGCUUGUCUGCUACAGGGGCUCCCAGCGGCCUCCCGCACCGAAGGGACCCUGGGCGUCUGAGGCCCUGAUCCGGGCGGGCCUUCAGGAUGUUAGCAGUCCCUGUCCGGUUGAAGGCCUGCGGGGCGGGGGCGGGGUGGCGCCCAGGACGACUCCCCGGGCUCAGCUUGGCUGCCUGCCUCCUUCUCAAACAAUGAGUACCUACUGUGUGUAGAAGCAGCAGGACAGCCUGUCAUCACUGGGAAAGAGGCCAGAAGAGCCGUUUGGCCAGGGUCUCCAAUUUAGGCUUUCAACAUUAUCUCUAAAGAAGGUUAUACAUUAUGUCGGCUCCACUGGCUGAUGGGAUCAAAGACCCUCCUUGUAUAUCCUUAAACCUGUACUCUAUUACCAGGCCACUGUGCCUGUGGAGCACUGUAAGUUCCUACCUUUUAAUAAAUUUUAUAAUUAUCUUGUGAGCAGCACAA